CCUAACACAUGCAAGUCGAACGAAGGCUUCGGCCUUAGUGGCGCACGGGUGCGUAACGCGUGGGAAUCUGCCCUUGGGUACGGAAUAACUCCUCGAAAGGGGUGCUAAUACCGUAUGAUGUCGUAAGACCAAAGAUUUAUCGCCCAGGGAUGAGCCCGCGUAGGAUUAGCUAGUUGGUGGGGUAAAGGCUCACCAAGGCGACGAUCCUUAGCUGGUCUGAGAGGAUGAUCAGCCACACUGGGACUGAGACACGGCCCAGACUCCUACGGGAGGCAGCAGUGGGGAAUAUUGGACAAUGGGCGAAAGCCUGAUCCAGCAAUGCCGCGUGAGUGAUGAAGGCCUUAGGGUUGUAAAGCUCUUUUACCCGGGAAGAUAAUGACUGUACCGGGAGAAUAAGCCCCGGCUAACUCCGUGCCAGCAG
rnacentral:rRNA from 1 species